GAGUGAACGCUGGCGGUAGGCCUAACACAUGCAAGUCGAACGGCAGCACAGUAAGAGCUUGCUCUUACGGGUGGCGAGUGGCGGAUGGGUGAGGAAUACAUCGGAAUCUACUUUUUCGUGGGGGAUAACGUAGGGAAACUUACGCUAAUACCGCAUACGACCUACGGGUGAAAGCAGGGGAUCUUCGGACCUUGCGCGAUUGAAUGAGCCGAUGUCGGAUUAGCUAGUUGGCGGGGUAAAGGCCCACCAAGGCGACGAUCCGUAGCUGGUCUGAGAGGAUGAUCAGCCACACUGGAACUGAGACACGGUCCAGACUCCUACGGGAGGCAGCAGUGGGGAAUAUUGGACAAUGGGCGCAAGCCUGAUCCAGCCAUACCGCGUGGGUGAAGAAGGCCUUCGGGUUGUAAAGCCCUUUUGUUGGGAAAGAAAAGCAGCAGGUUAAUACCCCGCUGUUCUGACGGUACCCAAAGAAUAAGCACCGGCUAACUUCGUG
rnacentral:rRNA from 1 species